UACGAGGGGGGGCGAGCGUUGUUCGGAAUUAUUGGGCGUAAAGGGUGCGUAGGCGGUUUGGUAAGUCUGAUGUGAAAUCUAUGGGCUCAACUCAUAGUCUGCAUCGGAAACUGCCGGGUUGAGUGUGGGAGAGGUGAGUGGAAUUCCUGGUGUAGCGGUGAAAUGCGUAGAUAUCAGGAGGAACACCUGUGGCGAAAGCGGCUCACUGGACCAUAACUGACGCUGAUGCACGAAAAGCUAGGGGGAGCAAACAGG
rnacentral:rRNA from 1 species